CGCCUCUUGAUAAGAGGUCCAGCCUGCCCAGUGAAUUCAACGGCCGCGGUACUCUAACCGUGCGAAGGUAGCGUAAUCACUUGUCUUCUAAAUAAAGACUAGUAUGAAAGGCAUCACGAGAACUAAACUGUCUCCCUUUUCCAAUCAGUGAACCUAAUCUUCCCGUGAAGAAGCGGGAAUUUUUAAAUAAGACGAGAAGACCCUAUGGAGCUUAAAACACUAUUACACCUGCAGGAUGAUUAUACGUUUUCGGUUGGGGUGACCACGGAGAAAAACCCACCCUCCACGAUGAAAAACAACAAGCAACAACUUUAAGCAUCAGUAAACUGACUCCAUUGACCCAAUAAAUUGAUUAACGAACCAAGUUACCCUAGGGAUAACAGCGCAAUCCACUUCAAGAGCCCCUAUCGACAAGUGGGCUUACGACCUCGAUGUUGGAUCAGGGUGUCCUAGUGGUGCAGCCGCUACUAAAGGUUCGUUUGUUCAACGAUUAAAACCCU
rnacentral:rRNA from 1 species